GUUUUGUGUGUUGGAGGAUGGAAAGCGUCAAGUUCCAUGGUCGGAGGAUGAGAAAAAUUAUCUGGAGAGCUUCAUAAACGACAAUAUCAGUGUGGAGAAUGGUGAAUCUGCUAUGCAGUAUUGGAGGAGAUGUGCAGCUGCACUAAAUAACAAAUAUCCUGGGCACAUCAGAAGUGAAGACUCAUGCAAACGUAUGGCCAAGCGUCUAUCUGUCAAUCCCUGCAAACCAGUGUCAUCAACUGUUAAAGAGCUUGAACUGGGAUUCAGUGAACUAAAUUACAUAAAAACAGCCGACAUUGGGACACAAACCGAUUUAUCACUGCCAGUAAAUUG